rnacentral:rRNA from 1 species
GACGUAGGGCGCGAGCGUUGUCCGGAUUUAUUGGGCGUAAAGAGCUUGUAGGCGGUUUGUCGCGUCUGCUGUGAAAAUCCGGGGCUCAACCCCGGACUUGCAGUGGGUACGGGCAGACUAGAGUGUGGUAGGGGAGACUGGAAUUCCUGGUGUAGCGGUGAAAUGCGCAGAUAUCAGGAGGAACACCGGUGGCGAAGGCGGGUCUCUGGGCCGAAAUUGACGCUGAGGAGCGAAAGCGUGGGGAGCAAACAGG